UGUAAUGCACACUGAAGAUCCC
rnacentral:piRNA from 1 species